rnacentral:rRNA from 1 species
CGAGGAUUCCUCUAGUAACUGCGAGUGAACGCGGAAAAGCCCAGCGCUGAAUCCUUCGGCCACUGGUCGCUUGGAGUUGUAGCGUAUAGGUGCGGCUGUCCGUUCGCCUCGUGCACCCAAAGUCCCCUUGAGCGGGGCUAUAGUCCAAAGAAGGUGCUAGACCUGUACGGGUGGCGAGGUGAUCGGUUGGUCGUUCCAUGGAGUCGGGUUGCCUGGGAUCGCAGCCCAAAGUUGGUGGUAGACCUCAUCUAAGGCUAAAUAUGACCACGAAACCGAUAGCAAACAAGUACCGUGAGGGAAAGUUGCAAAGAACUUUGAAGAGAGAGUUCAAGAGGGCGUGAAACCGCUGAGAUUGAAACGGAUAGAGUUGACGAAACUCAGCUGCAUUCAUCCAAUCGGCCCUGCGGCCCAACGAUAUCGGAUUCCUCGAUGAGGGCCGAUUCGCUGGUGUUACUGUUGGGCGCUUGAUCGGUGUAUUUGCGGCUGGUAUGCGCUGAGAGCCCUGCGGACGUAUGUUGACAAGCGUGCAGCGGACCAUUCCUUCCGGGCGUGGAAACCUUCGCGCUUUCAAGCAUGUCGACCGUAGGGUUUUUUAAACGUUUCCGCCACGAAGGUGCGUCCACUUUUGCGCUCUAUUCCGAUCACUGGAUAGUCGCGUGCGACUGUCUAUGGUCGGUGGUGGUGCGACAGGGGUGCGAACGCGAAGAAACGAGCAUCUCGGUGUGAACGUUGACCACCUAUCC